rnacentral:rRNA from 1 species
AGGAUGAUCAGCCACACUGGGACUGAGACACGGCCCAGACUCCUACGGGAGGCAGCAGUGGGGAAUAUUGGACAAUGGGCGCAAGCCUGAUCCAGCCAUGCCGCGUGAGUGAUGAAGGCCCUAGGGUUGUAAAGCUCUUUCACCGGUGAAGAUAAUGACGGUAACCGGAGAAGAAGCCCCGGCUAACUUCGUGCCAGCAGCCGCGGUAAUACGAAGGGGGCUAGCGUUGUUCGGAUUUACUGGGCGUAAAGCGCACGUAGCCGGACUUUUAAGUCAGGGGUGAAAUCCCGGGGCUCAACCCCGUAACUGCCUUUGAUACUGGAAGUCUUGAGUAUGGUA